AGAGGGCUGGAAAAGAACAACUGGGCGGGAGGGAAGCGCGGCCGUGCGGUGCUGCUUUCAAGCGAGUUCUGAGCAGCAGCAGCUCAAACCAACGUCUGCGUGCUGCCGACGCAGCAGGUUUCCCUGUACCUUCUCCCGUGUUAGGCGCUAGGCGUGGCCAACUGCUGAAUGAGGCGUCAGCAGAGCAAUUUCGAGUCCUAACACGGCAGCUGUAGAUGCAGAUCUGAAAAUAAACCUCCACCUGUGGAUUGCAGCUCAAAUCUACAGCUUCCAGAGUGCUCGUAGACAAGUGGGUAGCAACAGCAAGAGGGGUCUCGUUAGACAUAACGGCUCUCAAGUAAAAGGCAGAGGAGUCGCAUCAGCAGUGCUGACCUUUCUUGACUUCCAGAAUUCCAGAGCAGAUCAGUGCUUUAAGAAUUGUAGUUGCUCUUUCUACUAAAAUAUUUUUUUCUGCUAAGAUACGCAGAAAGUAAAAGUAAAGUCAACAAAAAGAGACAUGCAUCACAUGUUUCCCUUCACGCUUUUCUUUCCUCACUUUGAAUGCCUUAAUAAAAUGUCAUUAAUGAUCAAGGCAUGCUAGCAGCAAAGGCCCCAGCCGUGAUUAGAACCCGUUUCUGUUUGGUUUUUAUACAAAAUUCCUUUCUAAAAAGUGUGGAGGCCGAACUGUUCUUAAGCACUGACCUUAACAAUAGCAUAAAUUAUUAUGAGUUUUCCAAUUAUUACUUUGUCGUAUGUGGAACAUCAUAUUCCACAGCUUAUCAUUCUGGCCCGAGAAGAACAUCCAGGAUCCUGUCAUAUACCCUUGCCGCAACUCAACUGGAGUAGUUGGGUCAUUGUAAAGUUGAGCACUGUUUUCUCAAUUAAUACAAAGUACAUUCGUCCUU